UACGGGGGGGGGCAAGCGUUGUUCGGAAUUACUGGGCGUAAAGGGCUCGUAGGCGGCCAACUAAGUCAGACGUGAAAUCCCUCGGCUUAACCGGGGAACUGCGUCUGAUACUGGUUGGCUUGAAUCCGGGAGAGGGAUGUGGAAUUCCAGGUGUAGCGGUGAAAUGCGUAGAUAUCUGGAGGAACACCGGUGGCGAAGGCGGCAUCCUGGACCGGUAUUGACGCUGAGGAGCGAAAGCCAGGGGAGCAAACGGG
rnacentral:rRNA from 1 species